rnacentral:lncRNA from 1 species
AAAUAAAACAAAAACAAAACAGAAAACGAUUGCCUUCUAUAAUUCAGAUAACAUAGUAUUUAAAAACUAAUUUGAUACGAAUACAGAGUGUCAUAAACACAUAUACAAACACGAUUGUCAUGGUAACAGUCAACCACAAUAGGUAUUUACUCAAUCGUAAUCAACCCAUAUUAACCCUUAUGAAAUAUUAUUUUAAUUCUGUAGUACCAAGAAGAGGUGGUAUGAUUGCCAAUAUGACGAGUAUCCACAAAAUGCAAAGUAAUAGAAGUGCACAACUACUGGGCAUCGUACGAACAUAAUGAAGAGUAGGCUAAAAUGGUGUUUGGAUGAAUAAAUGUCUAUCAAAUCAUAAACGAGGAAAACCAAUUUGUCUGACUGACACUAAAACAAUAAAAGAAAACCAGUAUUAUGGCAGACAUUUACCGACCAUUGAUUAAUAUUUCCAUUGGUUUUCCACCUAUCAGUAAAUCGUUCGAAAUUAAAAGGGAGAGGGGUUAUGAUCGCCAAAAGCUAAUUGAACACUGCUUCCUGUACAUUUCCUGGUCCAGGUGAGGAACUUGGUCAUUGGUUACCUUUCUUCAUGUUUGAUUGUUUAAUUUCUGAAUAUUCCAUAUGAAGCUUUUCUUUUUUAUAGUGGAACUUUGAUUUUAAGAAUAACUGUUAAACUCUAUGUCAUGUUUCUUUUUAGAACUGCUAUUUCGGGCAUAGCAUAUCGUGUAUACACGUCCGUGUGAUAAAUAUUAUAUGGUGGCAUUAAACUGUCUUCUUGGGUAUGCUAUUUUUAGAAUGCUGUCUUAAUGAAAUAUACUAUACAAUGC